GACUAACAAGGAUUCCCCUAGUAACUGCGAGUGAACCGGGAAAAGCUCAAAUUUUGAAUCUGGCGGUCUUUCGGCCGUCCGAGUUGUAAUCUAGAGAAGCGUCUUCCGCGCUGGACCGUGUAUAAGUUUCCUGGAAUGGAACGUCGUAGAGGGUGAGAAUCCCGUCUUUGACACGGACUGCCAGGGCUAUGUGAUGCGCUCUCGACGAGUCGAGUUGUUUGGGAAUGCAGCUCAAAUAGGGUGGUAAAUUCCAUCUAAAGCUAAAUACAGGCGAGAGACCGAUAGCGAACAAGUACCGUGAGGGAAAGAUGAAAAGAACUUUGGAAAGAGAGUUAAACAGUACGUGAAAUUGCUGAAAGGGAAACGCUUGAUGUCAGUCGCGUCGGCCGGGGAUCAGCCUUGCUCUUUUGCUCGGUGUAUUUCCUGGUCGACGGGUCAGCAUCGGUUUCGACCGUCGGAAAAUGGCUCGAGGAAUGUGGCACUCUUCGGAGUGUGUUAUAGACUCGGGUCGAAUACGACGAUCGGGACCGAGGAACUCAGCACGACCUUA
rnacentral:rRNA from 1 species